rnacentral:rRNA from 1 species
CGUGUAGGCGGUCUGUUUAGUCUGGUGUGAAAGCCCUGGGCUCAACCCGGGAAGUGCAUUGGAUACUGGCAGACUUGAGUACGGGAGAGGAUAGUGGAAUUCCGAGUGUAGGGGUGAAAUCCGUAGAUAUUCGGAGGAACACCGGUGGCGAAGGCGGCUAUCUGGACCGAUACUGACGCUGAGACGCGAAAGCGUGGGGAGCAAACAG